AACAAAGAAAAAAAUGUUAAACGCAGUAAGGGAAAAAGGUCGAGUAACAUAAAAAGGGAGACCAAUCAGUAUUCCACACUUCUUAAAAUAGACUGUGAAAGCUAGCAAUCCUGGGCAUAUAUCACACAGAUCCUAAAUGAAAAAAAAUGUCAGCCCAGGCUACUGUAAAACCUCUCAACUACCAUAGAUGGAGAUUCCAAGAUAUGCCAUGUCAUGAGCAAAUUUACACAAUAUCUUUCCACAAAUCCAGCCCUACAAAAGAUGAUAGAUGGAAAAUUCCAGUACAAGGCAGGAAACUACACCCAGAAAAAGAAAGAACACAAUCUACUUUUAAAAAACACAAAAAAGAGAUAAAGUAGGUAGCCACAGAAACAUAAUUCGACAUUUAACAAGAAAAAUAAUAGACAAAACCAAUCAUUUGUCCGAUAUCAUUAAACAUCAAAGGACUCAAAUACCUAUAAAACGACAAACACUAGAAGUCAACUGCCCUGGAAUAAAAACACUUUAUUCUUCCUCUGUCUGCAAUGGAGGGGUCAGAGACAUGGCCAUCUGAUGGACCAAAAUCUAGAAUUGACCUUGUGACUGAGGAGUGUCUCAAACAUUCAGCCUCUGCUGUAGUGUACCUGAAACUGAAUCCUUGUGAACAAGAAUCCAUAGAAGAUUCUCACUUUGUUUGUGGCUGACCAGAACUUGUUCCUCAAACCUUAUUGCAUAGCCAAUACAACUCUGACCACCAAAAAAUCUCCAAGAACAAUGGAUUGAGGUCCCUUGGCCAAUGAAUAAAAAUUCCAGCCUGGAUCCAAGGCCACUUAUCUAAGAUUCUCACCAGAAAGGCCAAUAUCCCUCACACCCAUACCUGUGCGGCUUAUAGUAAGUUUAAAUAGGGUUUAGAUCCAGUGACUUUGACACAAGAUUUCAGAAUAAAUCUCAGAUUGCUGUCAAGUCUGUAGUGGAGGCCUUGGAGAUAAGAAUUUUCUUGAGUUCUCUGAAAAUAUGGAGCCCUGGAGUGCUGGGACCAUAGUCUUCUAUAGAAGGUAAUCAGGAAUAGUCCCUUACUUUCAAACUGGUUUAAGACCUUUCUCCUUUCAAAAACAUUGGUAUUUUUUUCUGCUCAGGAUGAUUAGGCCUUAGAGUUACUCAUUUGACCAAAUGGUCUCUCAGAACCAUCCCUUUUGCUUGGGGCCCAUGGAAUAUUUUACCUCAGACCAUGGAGCAUUGAUCCCUCUGUUGAAGGUUCACUGAAAUCCAAAAGGAGGGAGCAAAUCCUGGAAUCUCAUGCUACUUCCUUGAGUAAGGUCACAUGAUAUGUUGUGAAGUCAUCAGUCUGGUGCUCAUUUCUUUUUGGUUGAAUAUAGUUUUUAGGAGGCAAUCAGGCUUAGGACACCCCCAACUUUUCUUGAAUCAUGGAAUCUAUAUUCAGUCUCUUGCAGAUUCAGCUAAAGAUGUGUAUAUGCUAGACUGUGAAGUACCAUUAGAAGAUGAAGCAAUGUAGGACCUCUUGAGCUAUUUUCAAGGUAAACUGGAGGUUCACUUGGGAUGCAAUGAAGAGCCCCUGACAAGCAUAUUCUUCAAAGCCUCCCAUGGUGUAACUGAAGAUACGAUAUGUGAAGUAGCCCUAGCUUGCCUGCUCAAGAGGUGUCCUUUCACAUGCAGAGGAAUGUGUAGAUGGACAUAUAUUUGAAUAAGAUACUGAACCUAAGACUACUGCAUUAGAGCCUCGUACAAGACUUCUAAGACUGUUGACUGCCUACCAUGGAUAUUCAGGCAUCUGCAGAUACUACCUUUUGAGGAAUGAAUCCUUCUCAGGAGACAAUAGACGGAACCUGCACUUCAAUGAUAAUUAAAUGGCACUUCAAGAUAUCAAAUCAAAAUAUCAAAGUGAGAAUGGAAUAAAUUUAUUAGUACAGUGUUUUGCAAACAACUUCUUUCACAAACAGCCUUGGAAGGAGAAUUCUGAAAUUUUGCAUUUCAUAUUUGACUUUGCUGGUACUCUGACAAAAUCAACUCACAACUGUUUGGGGCUUUAUGGGCAAUUAAAUACUACAAACAGAGCUGAAUGAAUCAGUGCUCUGCGGUAUGUGUUAAUAUGGCUACAGUGAAGAACAACUAUGCUAAAGCUAUUCAUCUGUUUUUCAAACAGCAUCCUCAUGCAACUGUGGACUUCUGUGGGUCGUUGGAUGGAUAGGUUGAGAACACUGGCUGAGAGCUGCAAAUGCAGAAGUGGGAUGGUACAUGAUUGGAUCAUGAAAGGCCUGUGUGUAAAUCAUAAACAACUUCACAAUAUUCAAUACUUUAAUAAUUACUAGGAAGUAGACUUCUGUAAAAUGACUUCAGCAGACCAGCAUGGUAGAAAAACAGUAACUGAUUCCCUGGAGAUUUAAAUCCACUGGAUUGUGAAACAUGGACUUAGAGGUAGAGACAUGUCAGCACAUGAAGACUGGAUAAUGAAACCACUGUUGUCUCUUAAGUUUCCCUAACCCAUGGUUUGAGGCCAACAGCAACAGAUUUUUUGCACUGAGGAAUAGAAUAAAAGCCAAUUUGUUGAAAAUCCCAA